CGGAGGAGCCCGCUCCGGCGGGCCGCCAGAGGACCCCAAACUCUUGUUUUAUACAGUAUCUUCUGAGUAACACGAUUAAAUAAAUCAAAACUUUCAACAACGGAUCUCUUGGUUCUGGCAUCGAUGAAGAACGCAGCGAAAUGCGAUAAGUAAUGUGAAUUGCAGAAUUCAGUGAAUCAUCGAAUCUUUGAACGCACAUUGCGCCCGCCAGUAUUCUGGCGGGCAUGCCUGUUCGAGCGUCAUUUCAACCCUCAAGCCCCCGGGCUUGGUGUUGGGGAUCGGCGUGCCCUCGCGGCGCGCCGUCCCCGAAAUCUAGUGGCGGUCUCGCUGUAGCUUCCUCUGCGUAGUAGCACACCUCGCACUGGAAAGCAGCGCGGCCACGCCGUUAAACCCCCCACUUCUGAAAGGUUGACCUCGGAUCAGGUAGGAAUACCCGCUGAACUUAAGCAUAUCAAUAAGCGGAGGAAG
rnacentral:rRNA from 1 species